rnacentral:rRNA from 1 species
GACGAACGCUGGCGGCGGGCUUAACACAUGCAAGUCGAACGGAAAGGCCCUGCUUUCGUGGUGUGCUCGAGUGGCGAACGGGUGAGUAACACGUGAGUAACCUGCCCUUGACUUUGGGAUAACUUCAGGAAACUGGGGCUAAUACCGGAUAGGAGCUCCUGCUGCAUGGUGGGGGUUGGAAAGUUUCGGCGGUCGGGGAUGGAUUCGCGGCUUAUCAGCUUGUUGGUGGGGUAGUGGCUUACCAAGGCAUUGGCGGGUAGCCGGCCUGUGAGGGUGACCGGCCACCAUGGGACUGAGAUACGGACCAGACUCCUACGGGGGGCAGCAGUGGGGAAUAUUGCACAGUGGGCGGAAGCCUGAUGCAGCAACGCCGCGUGCGGAAUGACGGCCUUCGGGUUGUAAACCGCUUUAGCCUGUGACGAAGCGUGAGUGACGGUAAUGGGUAAAGAAGCACCGGCUAACUACGUG